GACGAACGCUGGCGGCGUGCUUAACACAUGCAAGUCGAACGGAAAGGCCCCUUUGGGGGUCCUCGAGUGGCGAACGGGUGAGUAACACGUGAGUAACCUGCCCUUGACUUCGGGAUAACUUCAGGAAACUGGGGCUAAUACCGGAUAGGAAUCCUUGCUGCAUGGUGGGGGUUGGAAAGCUUCGGCGGUUUUGGAUGGACUCGCGGCUUAUCAGCUUGUUGGUGGGGUAGUGGCUUACCAAGGCUUUGACGGGUAGCCGGCCUGAGAGGGCGACCGGCCACAGUGGGACUGAGAUACGGCCCAGACUCCUACGGGAGGCAGCAGUGGGGAAUAUUGCACAAUGGGCGGAAGCCUGAUGCAGCAACGCCGCGGGCGGGAUGACGGCCUUCGGGUUGGAAACCGCUUUCAGCAGGGGCGAAGCUUGUGGUGACGGUACCUGCAGAAGAAGCACCGGCUAACUACGUG
rnacentral:rRNA from 1 species